GCCAGGGGUAACCAUAGCAACCCAUGAUGGGCGCGCAGCUGUCCCGCACUGACUCACACAGACUCUGACAUGGAGAGACGAACCUGCCCAGGAGAGAGGGAUUGACAAAAUAGAUGCAAGAACAAAGAGCCAGGAGGAGAAAACAAUACACAACCCGUGGCGGACUGGGACCAGAAAUCAGCCCUGGCAUUUCUAACACACCAGCCCAUUUUCCCCCGUAGCCCUUUGCUCUCGUACCGGGUUGAAAUUUGCAUAUUUGGGCACUGAUAAACACCUACAUUUAAAUGUAGUAGCUGUACAUGACAUCAGGCUCUGCUUCUUUUUACCUUUAUUUAACUAGGCAAGUCAGUUAAGAACAAAUUAUUAUUUUCAAUGACAGCAUAGGAACAGUGGGUUAACUGCCUUGUUCAGGCGCAGAAUAACAGAUGUUUACCUUGUCAGCUUGGGGAUUCAAACUUGAAACCUUUCAGUUACAAGUCCAACACUCUAACCACUAGGCUACCUGCCGCUUCACAGUGCCGUGUGGGUUUUAUACUGACAAACAUUCUGAACUUGAGCACCUCGUGUGACAAGAAGUUGCCCCAUCCCUCCUGGUAACUUUUGCCAUUGUUUUAUUUUCUGAAUGAGGGAAAUGUUAUACAUUUAAGAGGAUUAUAUGUGUUUUGAAAGAUGAGACGUUGAGAAUUAUUUAACUAGGCAAGUCAGUUAAGAACAAAUUGUUAUUUACAAGAAUGAUACCCUAGCCAAAUCCAGAUUACGCUGGGCCAAUUGUGCACUGCCCUAUGGGACUCCCAAUCACAGCCAGAUGUGAUGCAGCCUGGAUUUGAACCAGGUACUGAAGUGCUGAGAUGCAGUGUCUUAGACAACUUCACCACUCGGGAGCCCAUAAUACAAGCAAGCCGAACACCCAUGAGUCCAAAUGUGCACUUCACAUUUCCCUAUCAUAAAGCUCAUGUCAUAUCCAGUG